AUUGAACGCUGGCGGCAUGCUUUACACAUGCAAGUCGAGCGGCAGCGCGGGGGCAACCCUGGCGGCGAGCGGCGAACGGGUGAGUAAUGCAUCGGAACGUAUCCUCGAGUGGGGGAUAACCCAGCGAAAGUUGGGCUAAUACCGCAUGAGCUCUGAGGAGGAAAGCGGGGGACCUGCGAGGGCCUCGCGCUGGAGGAGCGGCCGAUGUCCGAUUAGCUAGUUGGUGGGGUAAAGGCUUACCAAGGCGACGAUCGGUAGCUGGUCUGAGAGGAUGAUCAGCCACGCUGGGACUGAGACACGGCCCAGACUCCUACGGGAGGCAGCAGUGGGGAAUUUUGGACAAUGGGGGCAACCCUGAUCCAGCCAUGCCGCGUGAGUGAAGAAGGCCUUCGGGUUGUAAAGCUCUUUCGGACGGAACGAAAUGGGCGGGACUAAUACUCCUGUCUGAUGACGGUACCGUAAGAAGAAGCACCGGCUAACUACGUG
rnacentral:rRNA from 1 species